AAUACUACCUACAUUUGGGAACCAUGAUUACAAUUUCACUCAGAUAUUUCCAUCAAAUAUUUCUCAGUACACCCUGACCUGAUGAAACUGACCCUCACAACAAAUCCAUCAUCAACUGGAAUCAAGUGAAUGCAUUGUGUGACUUACUUUAGAGACAGGGAAACUAAAAUCCCAGGGUCACAGGGUGAGUUAGGGAGAGUCCAGAUACAACCUCAGACUCUUUCAACACUCAUCCAUGAAUGUUGUAGU
rnacentral:lncRNA from 1 species